rnacentral:rRNA from 1 species
AGGAAUUGGCGGGGGAGCACCACAAGGGGUGCGGCGUGCGGUUUAAUUUAACUCAACGCAGAGCAUCUCACUAGAGGCGACGGCAGGAAGAAGAUCAGUCUGAAGGGCUUAUCUGACGAGCCGAGAGGUAGUGCAUGGCCGCCGUCAGCUCGUGCCGUAAGGUGUCCAGCUAAGCCUGGUAACGAGCGAGACCUGCGUCUAUACUUGCUAACGCGUGAACUUCAUGAGCGAGCACUGUAUAGAGACUGCCUGUGUAAACAGGAGGAAGGUGCAGGCUACGGUAGGUCUGUAUGCUCCGAAUCUUCUAGGCUACACGCGCGCAACAAUGGAUGUGACAAUGGGCUGCGACACCGAAAGGUGAAGCCAAACCUCGAAACACAUUCUUAGUCCAGAUCGUGGCUUGUAACUCAGCCACGGACGUCGGAAUCCC